rnacentral:RNase_P_RNA from 1 species
CGCUGCCGGCCGUCGGCCGGGAGAGGAAAGUCCGGGCAACACAGAGCGCCACGCAAGCUAACGACUUGAUGGCCGUGAGGUCAUGGGAGCGUAACAGAAAACAACCGCCGGUAAAGGCGUCCGGGACGGCCCUCCCCGCCGUUUUUGCGGCAGGGGAUGCGCGCCGUCGGGAAUUUCCGACCGGUAAGGGUGAAAAGGCGGGGUAAGAGCCCACCGCGGAGGCAGUGAUGUCGUCCGGCCGUACGUCCCGUGGGUUGCAAGACCGUGUAUACCGGCAAUUAAGGGUUGCUCGCCCGAUGCCGGGGGGUAGGUUGCUGGAGGCGGCAGGUGACUGCCGUCGUAGAUAAAUGACAGGGGCCCGAAGUCCGCUUCGGGAACAGAACCCGGCUUACAGGGC